AUAAAGGGGAGUUUCCCCACACAAAUUCUCUUCUCUUGUCUGCCAUCAUAUGAGCCAUGAUCCAUCAGGCCUCCCCAGCAACAUGGAACUAAGGAAGACUUGGAUUCAGAGAAAGAGAAAAAGGAGAUGUGACAAGGAGAGUAGAAGUUGGCAUGGUGGAAGAAGGAAGAAGGCACCACAAGCCAAGGAAUACAGCAACCUCUAGAAGCUGGAAAAAGCAAGAAAAUAGAUUCAUUCGUGGAGCAUCCAGAAGAACCAUUCUUGCAGAGACCCUUAUUUUAGCCCAUUGAAACUUAGUUGAACUUCUGUUCAGGCCACUGAAAUGAUGCCCCUUCCUUGAUAAGGCACAAUACCUACACCAGCAGCCAGAGAUGUUAUGGUUUAAGGUCCUCAGCGGCCUGUGAGUGUCAAUGUUGGUAUUUUUGGCUGUACUUACAUCCAGCAGCUGCAACCCCCAGUCAUAGCAUAAGAUGACAAAAACUGCAAGGUCACAGGCGAAUGUAGCCAGAAAUUUGUGCAGCCUCCAUAGGGCUACAUAAGCAACCCUGAUAUUGCAUAACAGCUCAGAGUUCAUUGUUUCUCAGCCCAUCCUUCUCAGGGUCUCCUAGAUGAUGACUUUGAAGCCUUUGAAGAGUAAGUCAUGCAUGUCCCUUCCCACUGGGUUAGGAACCUGCUGCAAUGUCUACAGGGGGCUUGGGGAGAAAUAAGGACUUCUAUCUAUCAUUGCUACAGUUACACUAGAAAGAGCUCGUCACAUGAGCCAAGCAGGUUUCCUCUCCUCCUGCACUUGGGCCUAUGCCACUGGGUGGAAUGAAAAGAAGCUCAAAGUUGCCUUCUCUUAAUAUCCUCCUCUGACUUAAUGAUUCCCAAGUGGAUGUGGAAGAUGCUGAUAGGACACACACCUUUUGUAUGGAGGGAGGGAAAAAAUUAAGGGAAGGGGAGAGAGAAGAAUGGAGGAAGAGAGAGGGAGACAAGGAAAGGAAGGAAGAGAGAAGAAAGGAGAAAGACAGAGGGAUGAAAGAAGAGAGAGGAAGGAAGGAAGAAGGGAAGGAAGGAAGAAAGGAAGGGAGGGAAGGAGAGAGAAAGGGAAGAAAAGGAAAGGAAAGGAGAAAGGAAAAAAUGAAAGGAGGGAGGAAGAGUGAGGCAGAGUCAGAAAGAGAGAAAAAGAGGAAGAAAGAGAGAGGAAAGGAGAGAAUAAGAAGGGGGGAAAUGGAAAAAUAUAAAAAGGACCAAACAAAGAAAGAGAGAGGGGAGGGAAGGGGAGAAAAAGAAGGAGGAGAAGGAGAGAGAAAGAAAGAAAAAUAGGAAGCAGAGGGGAGAAAGAGAAGUAAGGAAGAGAAAGAGAGGGAAAGACGGUGAGAGAGAAAGAGGAAGGAAUGGUAAAUAGAAAGGAGAAAUGGAGAAAGAGAGAAGAGAUAAGGGAGAGGGAGUGCAGACUGGGAGAGAGAGAUGAGAUAGUUAGAGAUAUACGAAUGGAGGAAGGAGAAAGACAGAGAGAUAGAAGGAGUAGGAGGAGGAGAAAGUAAAAGAGAGAAAGAGAAGAGGGUAAGGGAGAAAGAGAAAGAAGGACAGAGAGCCAUACAGAGAGGAACAAAUGGAUAAACAGAGGAAGGAAGGGAUGGAGAAAGAGAGGAGAAAAGGAAAGAGAGGGAAGGAAGGAAAGAGGGAGGGAGAAAGAGAGCAUGUGCUUAAAGAAAAGUUAUGGGGCUGGCUGUCAUUUCCUCCAGAGGCCAACAAAACUCUCCCUACUCUCUAAGCCCCAGUGAAUAUAUAUGAAAGAGCUAG
rnacentral:lncRNA from 10 species